AUCAAGUGGAUUGACACAUUUCCUCAUCUCUGAGAUGCUUUAGAGAUCAUGGACCAGAGGCAACCGAUGGUCUAAAAGUAUCUCUGAAAUUAAAGUUGAACUCGAAAAAUGACACUCCAAUGUUGGCUUUUCUUACCCUUUCUUGUUUGUUAUCAUAUUUAUCAAUUUGCUUCCUCGUGUUGGUUCGUCAAUUAAAGAAAUUGUAAUGCAACUGUAUUAAGGUUGCUAUGAUGGAUUUAUGGCAACUAGAUAGAGCUAGCUUUGAUAUUAAACAGAAUUGUUUCUUAAAUAAGAAUUAUUAUUGUUCAAGAA